AUAUUGCACAAUGGAGGGAACUCUGAUGCAGCAACGCCGCGUGAGUGAAGAUGGCUUUCGGAUCGUAAAACUCUGUCAUUGGGGAAGAAUAAAUGACGGUACCCAAUGAGGAAGCACCGUCUAACUACGCGCCUGCAGCCGCGGUAAUACGUAGGGGGCGAGCGUUGGCCGGAAUUACUGGGGGUAAAGGGUACGUAGCAGGCUAUAUAAGUCAGGUGUGAAAUACCAGUGCUUAACACUGGAAUUGAAUUUGAAACUGUGUAGCUUGAGUGCAGAAGAGGAAAGUGGAAUUCCUAGUGUAGCGGUGAAAUGCGUAGAGAUUAGGAGGAACACCAGUGGCGAAGGCGACUUUCUGGACUGUAACUGACGCUGAGGUACGAAAGCGUGGGUAGCGAACA
rnacentral:rRNA from 1 species